UACGAAGGGGGCUAGCGUUGCUCGGAAUCACUGGGCGUAAAGCGCACGUAGGCGGACUCUUAAGUCGGUGGUGAAAUCCUGGAGCUCAACUCCAGAACUGCCUUCGAUACUGAGAGUCUUGAGUCCGGGAGAGGUAAGUGGAACUGCGAGUGUAGAGGUGAAAUUCGUAGAUAUUCGCAAGAACACCAGUGGCGAAGGCGGCUGACUGGUCCGGUUCUGACGCUGAGGCGCGAAAGCGUGGGGAGCAAACAGG
rnacentral:rRNA from 1 species